CGCUGGCGGCAUGCCUAACACAUGCAAGUCGAACGAAGGCUUCGGCCUUAGUGGCGCACGGGUGCGUAACGCGUGGGAACCUGCCCCUCGGUUCGGAAUAACAGUUAGAAAUGACUGCUAAUACCGGAUGAUGACUUCGGUCCAAAGAUUUAUCGCCGAGGGAUGGGCCCGCGUAGGAUUAGCUAGUUGGUGGGGUAAAGGCCUACCAAGGCGACGAUCCUUAGCUGGUCUGAGAGGAUGAUCAGCCACACUGGGACUGAGACACGGCCCAGACUCCUACGGGAGGCAGCAGUGGGGAAUAUUGGACAAUGGGCGAAAGCCUGAUCCAGCAAUGCCGCGUGAGUGAUGAAGGCCUUAGGGUUGUAAAGCUCUUUUACCAGGGAUGAUAAUGACAGUACCUGGAGAAUAAGCUCCGGCUAACUCCGUG
rnacentral:rRNA from 1 species